AUUGAACGCUGGCGGCAUGCCUUACACAUGCAAGUCGAACGGCAGCAUGGGUGCUUGCACCUGAUGGCGAGUGGCGAACGGGUGAGUAAUGCAUCGGAACGUACCCGGAAGUGGGGGAUAACGUAGCGAAAGUUACGCUAAUACCGCAUAUUCUGUGAGCAGGAAAGCGGGGGAUCGCAAGACCUCGCGCUUCCGGAGCGGCCGAUGUCGGAUUAGCUAGUUGGCGGGGUAAAGGCCCACCAAGGCAACGAUCCGUAGCGGGUCUGAGAGGAUGAUCCGCCACACUGGGACUGAGACACGGUCCAGACUCCUACGGGGGGCAGCAGUGGGGAAUCUUCCACAAUGGGCGAAAGCCUGAUGGAGCGACGCCGCGUGAGCGAAGAAGGCCUCGGUUGUAAAGCUCUGUCUGGAGGGACGGAAGGAAAGUAGACGGUACCUCCGGACGGAAGCCACGGCUAACUACGUAGCCAGCAGCCGCGGUAACUAGUGUGUGUA
rnacentral:rRNA from 1 species